rnacentral:ncRNA from 1 species
UGGAACAAUGUAGGCAAGGGAAGUCGGCAAAAUGGAUCCGUAACUUCGGGAAAAGAAUUGGCUUUGAGGGUUUGGCAUGGGGGUCCCAGUCUCGAACCCACUGGCUGUCGGUGGACUGCAUGAGCGAAUCCCACAAAAAUAGCGGGUCGCCGUGUGCCGGCCGGGGGACGGACUAGGAACGGUUCUUUCGGGGGCCUUCCCCGGGAGUCAAACAACCAACUCAGAACUGGAAUAGACAAGGGGAAUUCGACUAUUUAAAUUUAACAAAGCAUUGCGAUGGUCCCAACAAAUGUUUACGCAAAGUUAUUUUUGUCCGGUGCUCUAAAUGUCAAAGUGAAGAAAUUCAAACCAUGCGGGGGGUAAACGGCCGUAGUAGCUAUGACUCUCUUAAGGUAGCCAAAUGCCUUGUCAUCUUAUUAGUGAUGCGUAUGAAUGUAUUAACAAGAUUCCCACUGUCCCUGUCUAAUAUACAGCGAAACCACAGCCAAGGGAACAGGUUUGG